GGUGAACGCUAGCGGCAGGCUUAAUACAUGCAAGUCGUGGGGCAGCAUGAGUAGCAAUACUUGAUGGCGACCGGCAAACGGGUGCGGAACACGUACACAACCUUCCGAUAAGUGGGGAAUAGCCCAGAGAAAUUUGGAUUAAUACCCCGUAACAUAUAGAGUAGGCAUCUUCUUUAUAUUAUAGCUUCGGCGCUUAUUGAUGGGUGUUCGUCUGAUUAGGUAGUUGGCGGGGUAACGGCCCACCAAGCCUACGAUCAGUAGCUGAUGUGAGAGCAUAAUCAGCCACACGGGCACUGAGACAGGGGCCCGACUCCUGCGGGAGGCAGCAGUAAGGAAUAUUGGACAAUGGGCGAAAGCCUGAUCCAGCCAUGCCGCGUGAAGGAUUAAGGUCCUCUGGAUUGUAAACUUCUUUUAUUUGGGACGAAAAAAGGGAAUUCUUUCCCACUUGACGGUACCAAGUGAAUAAGCACCGGCUAACUCCGUGCCAGCCGCCGCCGUAA
rnacentral:rRNA from 1 species